AUGAACGCUGACAGAAUGCUUAACCCAUGCAAGUCAACUUGAACUUCGGUUUGGGUGGCGGACGGGUGAGUAACGCGUAAAGAACUUGCCUCACAGCUAGGGACAACAUUUGGAAACGAAUGCUAAUACCUGAUAUUAUGAUUUUAGGGCAUCCUAGAAUUAUGAAAGCUAUAUGCGCUGUGAGAGAGCUUUGCGUCCCAUUAGCUAGUUGGAGAGGUAACGGCUCACCAAGGCGAUGAUGGGUAGCCGGCCUGAGAGGGUGAACGGCCACAAGGGGACUGAGACACGGCCCUUACUCCUACGGGAGGCAGCAGUGGGGAAUAUUGGACAAUGAACCAAGAGUCUGAUCCAGCAAUUCUGUGUGCACGAUGAAGUUUUUCGGAAUGUAAAGUGCUUUCAGUUGGGAAGAAAAAAAUGACGGUACCAACAGAAGAAGUGACGGCUAAAUACGUG
rnacentral:rRNA from 1 species